rnacentral:rRNA from 1 species
UACGUAGGAGGCAAGCGUUGUCCGGAAUUACUGGGCGUAAAGCGCGUGUAGGUGGUGGGACAAGUCUGCUGUGAAAGCGCCUGGCUUAACCGGGCGAGGUCGGCGGAAACUGUCCGACCCGAGGACGGUAGAGGGGGGUGGAAUUCCCGGUGUAGUGGUGAAAUGCGUAGAGAUCGGGAGGAACACCUGUGGCGAAGGCGGCCCCCUGGGCCGGCCCUGGCACUGAGACGCGAAGGCGUGGGGAGCGAACGGG